rfam:Myotis lucifugus cont2.5226, whole genome shotgun sequence.
GGCAGUUCUCGGGUGGCACACUUUGGAAUCGGACCCCCUCCUCUCUGGUUCCGAGUGCGUCACCCGAGAACUGCA